AGGGUUUGAUUAUGGCUCAGAUUGAACGCUGGCGGGAUGCUUUACACAUGCAAGUCGAACAACGGCACGGACUUCGGUCUGGUGGCGAGUGGCGAACAGGUGAGUAAUGUAUCGGAACGUGCCUAUUAGCGGGGGAUAACUACGCGAAAGCGUAGCUAAUACAUACGCCCUUCGGGGGAAAGCAGGGGACCUUCGGGCCACUCGCAUUAGAGC
rnacentral:misc_RNA from 1 species